rnacentral:rRNA from 1 species
CACCGAUUGACUAAGGUUUCCAGAGGAAGGCUCGUCCGCUCUGGGUUAGUCGGGUCCUAAGCUGAGGCCGACAGGCGUAGGCGAUGGAUAACAGGUUGAUAUUCCUGUACCACCUAUAAUCGUUUUAAUCGAUGGGGGGACGCAGUAGGAUAGGCGAAGCGUGCGAUUGGAUUGCACGUCUAAGCAGUAAGGCUGAGUAUUAGGCAAAUCCGGUACUCAUUAAGGCUGAGCUGUGAUGGGGAGAAGACAUUGUGUCUUCGAGUCGUUGAUUUCACACUGCCGAGAAAAGCCUCUAGAUAGAAAAUAGGUGCCCGUACCGCAAACCGACACAGGUAGUCAAGAUGAGAAUUCUAAGGUGAGCGAGCGAACUCUCGUUAAGGAACUCGGCAAAAUGACCCCGUAACUUCGGGAGAAGGGGUGCUCUUUAGGGUUAACGCCCAGAAGAGCCGCAGUGAAUAGGCCCAAGCGACUGUUUAUCAAAAACACAGGUCUCUGCUAAACCGUAAGGUGAUGUAUAGGGGCUGACGCCUGCCCGGUGCUGGAAGGUUAAGAGGAGUGGUUAGCUUCUGCGAAGCUACGAAUCGAAGCCCCAGUAAACGGCGGCCGUAACUAUAACGGUCCUAAGGUAGCGAAAUUCCUUGUCGGGUAAGUUCCGACCCGCACGAAAGGCGUAACGAUUUGGGCACUGUCUCAACGAGAGACUCGGUGAAAUCAUAGUACCUGUGAAGAUGCAGGUUACCCGCGACAGGACGGAAAGACCCCGUGGAGCUUUACUGUAGCCUGAUAUUGAAAUUCGGCACAGCUUGUACAGGAUAGGUAGGAGCCUUUGAAACGUGAGCGCUAGCUUACGUGGAGGCGCUGGUGGGAUACUACCCUAGCUGUGUUGGCUUUCUAACCCGCACCACUUAUCGUGGUGGGAGACAGUGUCAGGCGGGCAGUUUGACUGGGGCGGUCGCCUCCUAAAAGGUAACGGAGGCGCUCAAAGGUUCCCUCAGAAUGGUUGGAAAUCAUUCAUAGAGUGUAAAGGCAUAAGGGAGCUUGACUGCGAGACCUACAAGUCGAGCAGGGUCGAAAGACGGACUUAGUGAUCCGGUGGUUCCGCAUGGAAGGGCCAUCGCUCAACGGAUAAAAGCUACCCCGGGGAUAACAGGCUUAUCUCCCCCAAGAGUUCACAUCGACGGGGAGGUUUGGCACCUCGAUGUCGGCUCAUCGCAUCCUGGGGCUGUAGUCGGUCCCAAGGGUUGGGCUGUUCGCCCAUUAAAGCGGUACGCGAGCUGGGUUCAGAACGUCGUGAGACAGUUCGGUCCCUAUCCGUCGUGGGCGUAGGAAAUUUGAGAGGAGCUGUCCUUAGUACGAGAGGACCGGGAUGGACAUACCUCUGGUGUACCAGUUGUCGUGCCAACGGCAUAGCUGGGUAGCUAUGUGUGGACGGGAUAAGUGCUGAAAGCAUCUAAGCAUGAAGCCCCCCUCAAGAUGAGAUUUCCCAACUUCGGUUAUAAGAUCCCUCAAAGAUGAUGAGGUUAAUAGGUUCGAGGUGGAAGCAUGGUGACAUGUGGAGCUGACGAAUACUAA